rnacentral:misc_RNA from 1 species
UGGCGUCUCGCUGACAGAGUUACUGCCCCUGCUCCAGAUACUGGAGAAGCUGCCUGAACAUCUCCCGUGGGAAAUCUUCGAGACGAAAGAUUCCCAACUCCNNNNNNGAGGUGAAGGCUCUGAAGUGGGGUCUAAAUCUUCACGAUUAUUUGCAACAGGAGAUGGUCGGUUGAACAUGCUGCUUGUUGUCGUUUGAUCAGGCAAAGGCUCCUGAGCUUGAGAGCUUGAGGAUCCCAGAGCAACAGGUCGACAGCCAUCACAAUACCAAUUACCUUCAGGCACUUGCCGCCCAAGACCAACACAAUAGGUAUGUGCAGGUGAAUCACAGAGAUCGCAUAGUAACAUAAGGCCAUCAUCCCCACCUUCAUGGCAUUCUGUACAAAUCAC